UCAAGGAAUUGAAUCGGGCAAUGUCAGAAAAUGAAAACUUAUGUAGCCAUUCUCUUUGGAGCAUGAUCAUUUAAAUAGCAUGUAAAUCUAUUUUUUCCCUGCUGUUUGUAAUAUCAGUAACAUCCUCAGAAGGUGGUACUGAGAGUAGAUCUGAAAUUAGGAAUGUAUAUUGCAUAGGGAAUAUCAUUAACUAUUUGCUAUUUAUCCCAAUCUCGUGGAAAAAAACCUGAACACAGUUAAUACUGACAAACUUGUAGGUAAGAGUUCAAAUCAAAUCCUGAGAGCAACUACUGGACUUUGAAUGAUUUGGAGCAGAGCUUGGAGCAGUAUUUCAUACUCACUUCUUAUAGCCAUAGUGGAUCAAAUCAGAAGUCUGUUUCAUAUUUUCUUUGAAUUAUGUGAGUUCGAAAUCCUGAUCAUAACGUUGCUACUCAGUGGAUAUGUAUUCAUUGGCAUUAGCAUUUCUGAAUGGAUUAACUCAGCCAUUGUGAAAAACAGAUUCUGCAGUUUACUUAAAGAUAAGCAUGAGCAGCGUCAGGUCAAACAUUUUGGAAAUUUCCCAACAGAAAAGGCUCGCUCAUGGAAACUAAAUGUUCUGUAGAAAAGCUGUGAAUUUGAUGAAACUAUUGAAAAGAAGCCAGCAGGCAUUUGACCAAAAUCUUGCUAUUUUUCUGUCAGUUCACCUAUCUUUCUUUCCCCUCCUAGGCAAUAUCAGCCUCCAUGGGCUUGCAGAAGGACUGGGAAAAAGAAAACAACAACAAGAUGUUGAUAUGAACAAAUGCUGACUACAGCAUGCUGCAGCCCAGAACAGACCCAAACACUUUGGAGAAAUCCAGAUCAGAACUCCGCAGUCAGCCUUCCUGCAAACCUAAUCACAAACAGCAAAACACUGCUACUAUGUAUGACAGCUAGAAGCUUCCAUAUCCACAGAUGUGAAUUCCCACAGCACAGGAGACACUAAGAGCAGAGCCAUGACAGAAUGUACUCCACCAGGUCUCAUUUUGUCCUGCCAUGGAAGCACUGGCAACAGGAGGAAUGUGAGGAGAGAGAAGCAAGAAUGCAACCACUCAAAACACAGUUACGUCUUGACUUCAGCCAUAUUACUCCAAGUGGCCACUGCUCAGAAACUUAGCUGAUUGAUUGCAAUGCCAUUCCAAAAAGUCAUAAGUGAAAUGAAACUACUUCUUGAUGAACCAGUGUCUUUCAAAUAAUAUCUUGCUGACUUAUUUAAGAGUCGGUAAUUCCAGCAGAGCCUCCUACUCAGCAAACUAAAUCAAGAAAUUGUAACAGUCUCUUAGAUCCAAUCUAACUUUGGUUACACAUGUUUUUUCUUCCACUGUAAUUUUUUAAUGUAUAUUUUAAGAAGAUAUUUUGUAUACUGUUUACUUCCAAGUUAUUAAUAUGAAUACAGUAUAAUUCCGACUGCCCUAAAACCAUGAGAAUAACAUAGAACAUAUCCACAGAAAUGUUAAAGAAAUAUGCUUUCUACUUGGGUGCUUUAUUUGGGUUUUAUUUGCACAUAUUCAGUAUAAUUAUAGUUUAAGUGGGCUAUUUUCCAUACCCACAUAGUCAAUGCUUUCCACAUAAAGGUUCACAUUGGCUUUAGACGCACCCACAAGCUAUUUACUUGCAUGGUAUACAUAUAAUGAUCAAGCUUGUAUCUACUUCAGCCAAAUCUAAAUGUUUUCACUUGUGCCUCUUUUGCAAACCAUUUUCUCCUGAAUAAGUUGUUUCAAGCUUAUACUAUCACUUUUAUGAAUUUUAUGAUGCAACAGAUUUCCUCUUUUGCCCAGAUAUUGACUGCAGACUCAAAUUAAGAUACAUAUUUCAAGCACUCCAAAUGUUAGAAAAGUUUACAGCAAGGUUUUAUUUUGGUUGUUUUCCCAAGUAUGGGAUGAAUAUGGACUUCACUUUCAAUUCUUUUUUUCUUUUUUCCUUAUCAUUCCAAAGUUCAGCAGAAUUUGAGUAAAACUUUUGCGUUUAGUCGGUUCAUCUAUUGGACAUCAGCAUCUUAAUUGCCAGCGAGGGUUUGAAACAGAUCUUCAAAUAUGAGAAUAGGAAAAAUAUUAAACAGUACAAGCCAGAAACUCAUUUCCCACUUACUUUUGGGUUUCUCCCACUGAAGACUUUCUCAAGCUAUUUCUAACGGAACUAUUGUAAACAUGCUCUUCUGCCUAGAUUUUCAGAUGGAAAAUAUGAUGACACUGUAAACUGCAAAACAGCAUAGUUGAGUGAGGACACCUCUGUAAUGGACAGAUUCCCAAAGAAAUGUCAUCUGCACAUAUGCCCUACCAUCUUAGAGAAAUGUCCUCCCAGGCUUGAGAAACGUUUUGGUUUGGAAUCAACCCCCCGAUGUUAUGGCCAUCUUCAAAGUGGAGCAACAGAGUAAAAUGAGCAUUUUCUCAGAGGAACACAUAAGAUCAGGAAGUUUUUCUACAUAGAGAUAUUCCCAAACAACAUGAAAAUCUUCAAAGAGGAAACACUGUGUGAUAUGAACUCCAGAGAAAAAGGAGGCGACAUACACGUACAUACACACAAUAUGAAAGCUUUCAGGGAAAACAUGCUGUCCUUAGUAAUGUGAAGGGGUUUGUUUUGAAGAAGUCACCCCCUGCUGAGGCAGUAAGUAUACACGUAUGAUUACUGAGAUGUCUAAUUAAAUUCUCCUUAUCUGAAUGCCAUCUGAACUUAACAAAGCAGAUAAUAAGUUCCAGAAACAGAUACCAUGUGGGGGGCCAAAUAAUUUUGCUUCCAAAAAUUGGAGCUUGAAAUUAGAGAUGUGUAGGUAAUAGAGAACAUGAUUUUGCUCUACUCCCACUGUCUGCACCUGAACUGUUCUUUCCGUCAGAAAAAAUCGUGGAGCUAAAGUGAAGCUAAAUGCUUGCAGGAUCAACUCCAAUUCCAUGGAAAGACCGUAAGCUACCUUCUAACUCGACUUAAAUAAGUGGAUUUCCUCCAGAUUUAUACAAAGACAAGUGGGAGUAAUAUUACAUUCUUGCACUGAUUAAACAUCAACUGCAAAGAAUCAGAAUAUGACUGAAUUUUGAUUACUUUUCAGAAAUGUAUCUAGGUUGCAAAUUAACUGAAUCAUAUAUGAAGAUGGUCCUGAGAUGUUUCUGCAUGGAGUUAACUUGUCUAUGGAAAAGCUGUUCACAGGGGAACAACAUGGCACAGGUGCCCCAGAAAUACAACCUCCUCCGUAUAGUCUGAAGACUGAGUUGUUUAAUCCUGGAGCCUCAAAGGAACUCUGUGUAGAAGUCAUCAGGUCUUCCACACUCAGCACUGCUGAAUUUUGGAGGUCUGGAGAACGUUGUACUUCCUAUGUUUCCAAAUAAGUUAACUGAAUCAUCAGUUCAAGACACAUCACAGCAUAUGAGGUGUGAUCACCUAAACAAAUUCACAGGACCUUUUAGAAAGGAAAUUAUUUUAGAAAGGAAAAGUAGAAAUUAUCUUCUGCCUGAUUCAACAUGAAAUUCAGUUUUGGGAAUCUUUGAGUUGGUUUGGUAAAUGGAAUGUAAAAAUGGGGACCAGAUGUCAGCUUAUCUAUUAGCCUGAAAUGUUAGAACUGGAGAUGAGUUUUGGGAGGACAUUUCCUGGAGGCAAGAGCAGCCCAUGGUAGCAUCAGGGCUAUAAGGGCUGGUUGAGCCCAUGCAGAUAAGCAGUCCCUUGACCCAGACAUACACUUCCUAUUACUGCGACAACUUGUCCCAUGUAAUCUUAACAGUGCUGACUUCAUACCAGCAUAUAUAUUGGUAGCUGUAUAAUUAUGUGAAGAAUUCAACAGUCUUGCAAAAUCCAUGCAUGAACUUCCACCCUUGUUAAACCUACCUGCUCAAAGCUGGGUCAGGAAAACUUGUAAGUUCUGAAAUACUAUCAUCAACAGCUUCAGUAAGCCUUGGAGUAAAAAAUAGAGAUAAUAAUAUGUUACAUGUGUAUAAUAUACAUUUUAUACAUGUAUAUAAUAUACCUACUAUACAUUUUAUAUAUGGUAUCAUAGGACAUAUAUUGCAAUUAAUGCAUGUAAUGUUGUUGUAUUGAUAUUGUAUUGAUAUUAUAUUGUAUUGAUAUUAUAUAUAAAUAAUAAUAAUAAUAAUAUAUGAACUAUGAUAUAAAUAUGUUCUGAGCAAUUAAUUUUGUUACUGAACCAUUAGUUAACUCUAUUACUAUGUUGCAAUGAUGAAUGUAAAGGAAUGAUACUAUAAAACAAAAAUAAUAUCAUUAGUGUUGAAGCAUCGUGAACGUGUACUGUGCAGAUAGCAUAAAAUAAUAUACGACAGGAAAAUAUUUUUCUAUUAAAGUUAGUUUUGUCUAUGAAGGCUAGUUUAACAAAUCACUGAUUACCUUGUAAAUCUAAUGAUAUUGCAGAAGGUUAUGAAGAGUAGACUUAGCCAGAAGAAAUUUCUACGGUGAAGGUAAAAUCCCAAGAAAAAGUCUUGCUUCCUCUUGCUGCAUGCACAACCACAGUGAAAAGUCUCGAUCAAGAGUGGUUCAUCAUUCCUAAUGGAUUUCCUUUGUAUUACUGCCAAAGCUGGCUUCAAAGAUUUCACAGAAACUGUGGUCGGAAGGGACUUGAAGAUCAUUCAGUUGAACUUCCUGGUACAUCAGUAGCCACUAACUAAAUUCCUUAUAACCACCUAAAGAAUUUGGAUGUAGCAAGUACUAAAAGAAUCCAGAAGACUAGGAAUAUUCAAUAUUAGAACAAUUUAAAUAUUAGAAAAACUGCAGACAGAUGCUUUUAGGUCUGAGGAAUUUCAGAUGAGUUAUUAAUAAAAGAUUGGAAUGGCCUGCUGUGGUUCAGUAAAGAAUUAAGGACAAAAAUAAAGCUAACAUUAGUUAUUAUGGUUGCUAUAGUGUAUUUUGACUUCUCCAAGGUGUUUGAUCUAGGGCCAUUUGACAUCGGCAUUAAAAAGCGCAGAUUACAUACAUCAAAAACAGGAUUAUAUAUAUAUCUGAAGUGUGGCUGAUGAUAGGGAAAUAUUAAUAAAUAAAAAAAAUCAAGAGAG
rnacentral:lncRNA from 1 species